GCAAACUUGGUCAUUUAGAGGAAGUAAAAGUCGUAACAAGGUUUCCGUAGGUGAACCUGCGGAAGGAUCAUUGGAAGAGGGUGAUUGGUGAGAUUGAUGAUAGUCAAUUGAAAGCAAUCGAAUGAGUAGAGAAUCCGCACGCGGUAGUGUGUUGGAGUAUGCUGGCAUGGGGUAGUAUGUUGGAGUAUAAAAGCUGACAUGUUACUGUGUGUUGGAGUAUAAACGCGCGAGAAUAUUAUUGUACAAUAAUCAUAUAAACAACUUUUAACAAUGGAUCUCUUGGCUCUUGCAUCGAUGAAGAACGCAGC
rnacentral:misc_RNA from 1 species